UAACGGCUCACCAAGGCAACGAUACGUAGCCGACCUGAGAGGGUGAUCGGCCACACUGGAACUGAGACACGGUCCAGACUCCUACGGGAGGCAGCAGUAGGGAAUCUUCCGCAAUGGGCGAAAGCCUGACGGAGCAACGCCGCGUGAGUGAUGAAGGUCUUCGGAUCGUAAAACUCUGUUAUUAGGGAAGAACAAAUGCGUAAGUAACUGUGCGCGUCUUGACGGUACCUAAUCAGAAAGCCACGGYUAACUACGUGCCAGCAGCCGCGGUAAUACGUAGGUGGCAAGCGUUAUCCGGAAUUAUUGGGCGUAAAGCGCGCGUAGGCGGUUUUUUAAGUCUGAUGUGAAAGCCCACGGCUCAACCGUGGAGGGUCAUUGGAAACUGAAAAACUUGAGUGCAGAAGAGGAAAGUGGAAUUCCAUGUGUAGCGGUGAAAUGCGCAGAGAUAUGGAGGAACACCAGUGGCGAAGCCGACUUUCUGGUCUGUAACUGACGCUGAUGUGCGAA
rnacentral:rRNA from 1 species